rnacentral:rRNA from 1 species
UGGGGGAUAUUGCACAAUGGGCGAAAGCCUGAUGCAGCGACGCCGCGUGGGGGAUGAAGGCCUUCGGGUUGUAAACUUCUUUUGCUCUGAACAAGGCGCACCAUGGGGUGUGUUGAGUGUAGGGGUUGAUUAGCGCCGGCUAAAUACGUGCUAGCAGCCGCGGUAAUACGUAGGGCGCGAGCGUUGUCCGGAAUUAUUGGGCGUAAAGGGCUUGUAGGUGGCUGGUUGCGUCUGUCGUGAAAGCUCAUGGCUUAACUGUGGGUUUGCGUUACGUACGGGCUGGCUUGAGUUCAGUAGGGGAGGCUGGAAUUCCUGGUGUAGCGGUGGAAUGCGCAGAUAUCAGGAGGAAUACCGGUGGCGAAGUCGGGUCUCUAGUCUGUUACUGACACUGAGGAGCGAAAGCAUGGGGAGCGAACAGG